UUAUAUAUGCGUAUGUGAUUGCAGGGUUCUAAGCUUUACGGAAAAUCCAACCGAAAGUUCCUUAAAUAAGAAACUUUCGAUUGGGUUUUCCGUAAAGCUUAAAACCCCGCAAUUGCAUACACAUAUAUAA
rfam:Brassica napus, WGS project CCCW01000000 data, contig: 1305